CAGAAUACCUCUCUUUCUUUGCACAUAACUCCUAAAUGGUUCAUCACCAAGAAACCACUCUUAAAUCACCACUCCAUUUCCUUUCUCUCUCACAAACUUAACCCUUUCUUCCUCCAUGUAAAAUCAAUCAUGUACACCCUCCUUCACCUCAUCAACAUCAUCACCAUCAACACAAACAAACCCUAAACUUCCAUCCUUAAACUUCACCACAAAAUCACCUUCACUUUCCAUAACCACUUCUAACCAUGAACACAACCACAAUUUAAACUCCACAUCACUCAACCUUCUUCUUCAAAUACUCCCCCAAUCACCAUUUUUUUUUCACCGCCUCCUCUCAAACCACCCUCAUCAUCAAAGCACAACACCAUACACGACCAUCACCACGACGCAACAGUACUGCGAAACUGCCUCCUUCGACGCAUCCUCUUAGAACACCACUAAAGCAACACCAUAUAUUUUCCACCAGAUUAAAAAAUAACCGUAAUCCGACACAAAUAAUACAUCAUUUCUUCACUUUCCAUCGGACCAAACAUGUGAGAGGCAAAGAAACAAAAUAGCCAAUGACAGCUAAGAAAGUGAGCAAAAUGAUAGAAGCCUCUUUUUACAACUAUUAGUCAAGGUUCCUGUCUCUUAUUACAUAGUUUCAGAAUCAAACAGAGAAUGAGGGAAGUCUGUUGCUUUCUCGACGUCGAAAAAACACGCGUUCAUAGUUGACCACCCACCUUCUUCCAUACAAACUUCACAAAACCACCCAAAACAACAGACAACCACCGAUCGAGAACUCACAAUCGCGUCGGAAUCCAACUUCCGAUCGGACGAUGGAAGAAGAUGAACGAGUCUUUUUUUUAUUCCUAUGGUUUCUUUCUUCUAUGCGAGAGAUCAAAAUGGAGGGUAGUUUUUCUGUUUUUUGAAAAACAAAGGUUUGAGUUUUUCCUGUUUUUUUGAAAAACAAAGGUUUUUUUGUUGUUGUUACGGAUUAUGAGGGAGAAAAGGAUUUGGUUUUACUCUUUCCUUCCAUUAAGUUUUGAUUAGCUGAAAUCUUAAAAUUUGAAAAUUGUUCACCAAUACGCUGAUCAGUAAAAUAUUAUAAUAAUAUAUAUUUUUAAAAAUAAAAUAUUAAAAAAUAUUAUUUUGUUAUUUUUUAAUUUUUAAAUUAAAUAAUAUUGAUAUAAAG
rnacentral:lncRNA from 1 species